UUUAGUCAGGCAACAAGCGAGAUCCCUGCCUCUAGUUGCCACCAUUACUCUCAGGAGUAGUGGGGCGAAUUAGCGGGACCGCCGCAGUUAAUGCGGAGGAAGGAGGGGGCCACGGCAGGUCAGUAUGCCCCGAAACUCUGGGGCCACACGCGGGCUGCAAUGGUAGUGACAAUUGGUUCCGAAUCCGAAAGGAGGAGGUAAUCCUCAAACGCUACCACAGUUAUGACUGAGGGCUGCAACCCGCCCUCACGAAUCUGGAAUCCCUAGUAAUCGCAUGUCAUCACCGUGCGGUGAAUACGUCCCUGCUCCUUGCACA
rnacentral:rRNA from 1 species